UUGGAGGGCAAGUCUGGUGCCAGCAGCCGCGGUAAUUCCAGCUCCAAUAGCGCAUAUUAAAGUUGUUGCAGUUAAAAAGCUCGUAGUUGAAUUUCGGGAUCAAUAUUUCGGUCAUGCCGUUGGUAUGCACUGUUAUCAUUGAUUUCUCACCUUCUAAAGAACCGUGAUGCCAUUAAUUUGGUGUUACGGGGAAUUAGGACUGUUACCUUGAAAAAAUUAGAGUGUUUAAAGCAGGCUCACGCUUGAAUACAUUAGCAUGGAAUAAUGAAAUAGGACAUCCGAUUCUAUUUUGUUGGUUUCUAGGAUCGAUGUAACGAUUAAUAGGGAUAGUUGGGGGCAUUAGUAUUCAAUUGUCAGAGGUGAAAUUCUUGGAUUUAUUGAAGACUAACUACUGCGAAAGCAUUUGCCAAGGAUGUUUUCAUUAAUCAAGAACGAAAGUUAGGGGAUCGAAGACGAUCAGAUACCGCCGUAGUCUUGACCAUAAACUAUACCGACUAGGGAUCGGAUGAUGUUAAUUUUUUAAUGACUCAUUCGGCGCCUUACGGGAAAC
rnacentral:rRNA from 1 species